UGUUGUAUUAUACUGCAUUCGUUUAGAUGAACCGAUACUGGACACCUUUCGAGCUCCCUCCGUCUCUCUAUCUCCCCGAGUCUCUGCGAUAUCAACUGGUUUCUCGGAAAACUCUCUGGUUUUUCUUCACAUAAUUCAUGCGCUUUUACUAAAUCGGUUUUGAGAUCUUACUUCUUUACUCUUCUUUCAAUUUUUUCUCGGCGUCUCAAGAAGUUACAGAAGAGUUUAAAUUCUAUCUGCCUUCUUCCUUUCACUGUCUUUUUAGGGUUUCGCGUUGACGUAAAGGAUUUUUGUUUAAAUCCACACGUGUUGUAUUUCUGAGAGCCAUCGCUAUGUAAAAAACAUAAGCGGGGUGUAAAUAAUACGUGGAGUCUUCCGAAUUCGAUUCCUAUUGAUUUGGAUUUUGAUUUCGGUAUUCGAUGUGAAGUUAGGGCUUGCCUUUGGAGUGUGGAUUCGUCGACUUGAAUGGUUGAGAACAUGAUUAUCAAACGGACUAUGAAACUUGAAAUGCCUAAUCUGAAGCGGUGCAAGCUCGAAGAUUCCGAUUGGGCUGGAGACGAUGACGACGACCGCUCUUGUUCAGUGAAUUCCAAGAAAAGGAAACCCAAUGGGUAUCACUCAGUUGGUAGCGGUGAGGUUGAAGAUUGCAGCAAUGGCUCAGGUUAUUCCUGUUGGAGCGAAAGCGAAGGAUCGUAUAUGAGCGGAGAGUUCGAGUCGAACUCGAAGCAUUUGAAUAGAAAAGGAGAGGUGCAACAGUGCUCGGAGCGAUUUCGGCCGCCGCUGAUAAAGUCGUCGCGAGCUCGGGUUCAGAUGUUGCCUUCGAAGUUGUAUGACUCCGUUGUGGAUAUAUGGAAGACAGGGGAGUCGAAAUUCAAUGACAAGGCUUCGAGCUUACAGGGGGACGAGAUGGAAUUUAAAGAUACGAAAUUUGUUAGAAAGAGCGAGGAGGAGAAGUCAAAGUUCAAAAACUCGAAGCUUUAUCCAAAUGUUGAAAACGAAGAGGAAGAAAAAGUGGGUUAUGUAGCUUAUAAGAAUUUUUAUCGUAGGAAGCAUUUAAACUCAAGUAGGUCCACGGCAAAAGGCUCUGGUUUGAAUUCUCCAGCGUUGACAAGAAGUGACAGUUAUAAACCCAGGUUUAGUUUUACCGGAAUUGAGCGACUGGCGAAAGGGAAUGCUGGGAAGAGGAAGGAGGUUUAUAAGCCCGAGGACUUUGCUUUGGGUGAUAUAGUUUGGGCAAAGUGUGGGAGGAGAUACCCGACUUGGCCGGCCGUAGUGAUCGAUCCCAUAUCGCAAGCUCCAGAAACGGUCUUGAGUUGUUGCGUUCCUGGUGCUAUAUGUGUAAUGUUUUUUGGGUAUUCGAAGAAUGGAACACAAAGGGAUUAUGCGUGGGUAAAGCAGGGAAUGUUAUUUCCCUUCAUGGAAUUCAUGGACAGAUAUCAGGGGCAGACCCAGUUGUACAAGAGCAAGCUGAGUGAUUUUAAGAGGGCAUUGGAGGAGGCAUUGUUGGCAGAAAACGGUAUUCUGGACACAAACCUUGGGGCUGGGGAAAUUGCAAUUCCGGAAGAAAAUCCCAAGGAAAUCCAAGAGGCUAGUGCUUCUAAUCUGGACCAGCAGUACUACUCCCAGAAUCAGGAUGAGUAUUAUAAGGAUACAAUACCAUGUGAUGGCUGUGGUUUGUUUCUGCCAUGCAAGACUAUGAAGAAAAUGAAGGGUCCAACUUGCGAGACCCUGCUUUUGUGUAAACAUUGUGCCAAGCUACGAAAAUCCAGACAAUAUUGUGGCAUUUGCAAGAAGAUUUGGCACCAUUCAGAUGGCGGGAAUUGGGUGUGUUGUGAUGGUUGUAACGUGUGGGUGCAUGCUGAGUGUGACAAUAUUUCCAGUGAACUAUUCAAGGACCUGGUGAGCAUUGACUACUAUUGCCCAGAUUGCAAAGCAAAGUCCAACAAUGAAUUAUCAACUUUGGGAAGAUGCCAGCCAAAAGUGAACAGCUCUGUUGAAAAUAGGGGAGAAACUGUUUUGCCUGAGAAGGUAACAGUGGUAUGCAAUGGCAUGGAAGGAACCUAUAUUCGAAGACUUCAUUUAGUAAUAUGUAACUGCGGUUUGUGCGGGUCAAAGAAGCAAACACCUAGUGAAUGGGAACGACACACAGGUUGCAGAGCCAAAAAGUGGAAGUAUAGUGUGAAAGUGAAGGGUACAAUGCUACCACUAGAAAAAUGGAUUUCAGAGCAUAAUGCACAUGGUAUGGAUCCUCUUAAGCUUGAUAAGCAGCAGCUAUUCACUUUUUUGAAAGAGACAUAUGAGCCUGUCCAUGCAAAAUGGACAACGGAAAGGUGUGCUGUAUGUAGAUGGGUUGAAGAUUGGGAUGAUAACAAAAUCAUCAUCUGCAACAGAUGCCAAAUAGCUGUCCACCAGGAGUGCUAUGGGGCAAAAUCUGUGCAGGAUUUUACUUCAUGGGUUUGUAGAGUAUGCGAAUCGCCUAAUGUCAAGAGAGAGUGCUGCCUUUGUCCUGUUAAGGGUGGUGCUCUGAAGCCAACUGAUGUUGAGACACUGUGGGUUCAUGUAACAUGUGCUUGGUUCCGGCCUGAAGUUGGUUUCUCAAAUCAUGAGAUAAUGGAACCUGCCGUUGGAAUCCUUAGAAUUCCAUCCAAUUCAUUUUUGAAGCGAUGUGUAAUCUGCAAGCAGAGCCAUGGUUCCUGUGCACAGUGCUGCAAGUGUGCUACUUAUUUUCAUGCAAUGUGUGCAUCAAGAGCAGGAUAUAGUAUGGAAUUGCACUGCUUGGAAAAGAAUGGGACACAAAUGACAAAAAAGUUGAUAUAUUGUGCUGUUCACAGGGUCCCAAACCCUGAUUCUGUUCUAGCUAUUCAUACUCCUUCAGGAGUUUUUUCCCCUAGAAGCUUGCUGGAGAACCGGAAGGGGUGCUUCAGAGGUUCAAGGCUCAGUUCACUAAAGAAAACUGAACUUCUUGAAUCUCCAAGCUUAGAGAGUAAUGAGUUUGAGCCGCUCUCUGCUGCAAAAUGCCGCAUUUUCAAAAGAUUAAGGAGCAAGAGGCAGCCAUUAUUUCAUCGACUAAUGGGGCCAAGCCGUCAUUCUUUAGAUGAGAUAAAUAGCUUGAACACAAAUAAUGGGUUGGAAAAUCCUAAGAUUUUCACUUCCUUGAGAGAACGACUUCACUACUUACAGAGAACUGAAAAUCAUCGGGUUUGCUUUGGUAAAUCUGGUAUACAUGGAUGGGGUCUCUUUGCACGUACGGAUAUUGAAGGAGGAGAAAUGGUGGUUGAGUAUCGUGGUGAGCGGGUGAGGCGCAGUGUUGCAGAUCUGAGGGAGGCAAAGUACGGAUUAGAAGGCAAAGAUUGUUAUCUUUUCAAGAUCAGCGAGGAUGUUGUAAUUGAUGCCACAGAUAAAGGGAAUAUAGCACGUCUAAUCAACCACUCGAUGCUGCAUGCCCAACUGUUAUGCGAGGAUCAUGAGUUUGGGCGAUGAGGAGAGCAGGAUAGUUCUUAUUGCAAAGAUCAAUGUUUCUGCCGGUGAAGAACUAACGUAUGAUUACUUGUUCGAUCCGGAUGAGCGUGAUGAAUUGAAAGUCCCUUGCCUUUGUGGAGCUCCCAAUUGUAGGAAGUUCAUGAAUUAAGUUUUGCAUUCUUUUUGGUCUUCCAGGAGCUAAGCCAUCUCCUAAUCGAUGAGCAUUCGUUCAUUAAUAUUUUCCUUUUUCCCUUUUUUUUUUUUUUUUUUUUUUUGAAGUGAGCUUGUAAUUGUUAAAAAAAAACAAAUCCCAAUUAUUCAGUUGCAAUAAAAGGUAAAUUCACCAGCUUUUGAGUUGGUGAGAUUUGUUCUCCUCUUUGACAGAA